AGAGUUUGAUCAUGGCUCAGGACGAACGCUGGCGGCGUGCUUAACACAUGCAAGUCGAACGAUGAUGCCCAGCUUGCUGGGUGGAUUAGUGGCGAACGGGUGAGUAACACGUGAGUAACCUGCCCCUGACUCUGGGAUAAGCGUUGGAAACGACGUCUAAUACUGGAUAUGAUCACUGGCCGCAUGGUCUGGUGGUGGAAAGAUUUUUUGGUUGGGGAUGGACUCGCGGCCUAUCAGCUUGUUGGUGAGGUAAUGGCUCACCAAGGCGACGACGGGUAGCCGGCCUGAGAGGGUGACCGGCCACACUGGGACUGAGACACGGCCCAGACUCCUACGGGAGGCAGCAGUGGGGAAUAUUGCACAAUGGGCGAAAGCCUGAUGCAGCAACGCCGCGUGAGGGAUGACGGCCUUCGGGUUGUAAACCUCUUUUAGUAGGGAAGAAGCGAAAGUGACGGUACCUGCAGAAAAAGCACCGGCUAACUACGUGCCAGCAGCCGCGGUAAUACGUAGGGUGCAAGCGUUGUCCGGAAUUAUUGGGCGUAAAGAGCUCGUAGGCGGUUUGUCGCGUCUGCUGUGAAAUCCCGAGGCUCAACCUCGGGCUUGCAGUGGGUACGGGCAGACUAGAGUGCGGUAGGGGAGAUUGGAAUUCCUGGUGUAGCGGUGGAAUGCGCAGAUAUCACGAGGAACACCGAUGGCGAAGGCAGAUCUCUGGGCCGUAACUGACGCUGAGGAGCGAAAGCAUGGGGAGCGAACAGGAUUAGAUACCCUGGUAGUCCAUGCCCUAAACGUUGGGCGCUUUAUGUAGGGACCUUUCCACGGUUUCUGUGUCGUAACUAACGCAUUAAGCGCCCCGCCUGGGGAGUACGGUCUCUAGGCUAAAACUCAAAGG
rnacentral:rRNA from 1 species